GAUCAUGGCUCAGAUUGAACGCUGGCGGCAUGCUUUACACAUGCAAGUCGAACGGCAGCACAGGGAGCUUGCUCCCGGGUGGCGAGUGGCGCACGGGUGAGUAAUACAUCGGAACGUGUCCUGUUGUGGGGGAGUAACUGCUCGAAAGGGUGGCUAAUACCGCAUGAGACCUGAGGGUGAAAGCGGGGGAUCGCAAGACCUCGCGCAAUUGGAGCGGCCGAUGCCCGAUUAG
rnacentral:rRNA from 1 species